UUUUAUUUAUUAAACUAAAGAUGAACUCAUUGUCAAUACAAUAUACAACAAGAAAUGUUAAAGGAAGUUCUUCAAGCAAAAGAAAUGUAAUACUAGAUGUAAAUAUGAACAGACAAAAAAAUGUGGAGCACCAGAAAUGAUAAAAUGAAGGCAAUCAUAAAAGACUUUUUUUUCUUAUUUUCAAUCACUUUAAAGAUAAUUGACCAUCUAAAGUAAAAAUGGCAACACAAUUGUGGGUUUGUAAGAGAUGAAGACGUAAAAUGUGUGACAAUUACAGCAUGAAAAUGAGAAGGAGCAAAUAUAACUGUAGUGUUAUAAGCUGCUAAAUUAUACACUAAGUGAAAUAGUAAUAUUUGGCAGUUGACUGUGAUGUUACAAAUUUACAGUGCAAAUCCUAGAACAUUCACUAAAAUACUCCACUCUCAGUAAUGGGCAGAAAAAGUAGAUAGAAAUUCAUAAAAAUAUAGCAGACCUGAAGAACACUAUCAUAGUAGUUGAUAUUUAUAGAACACUCUCCCAAUCAGAGCACAAUGCACAUUCUUUUCAAAUACAGUGGGAAAAAAAAUUAAAAAAAAAUACAAUGAAAUGUUCACCAAGACAGACCACAUUCUGGGCCAUGAAACAAAUCUCAACAAAUUGAAAACAACUGUUAUUAUAAAAGAUAGAUUUUCAGAUUAUAGAAUGAAACUGCAAAUAAAGAACAGAAAGAUACGUGGGUAAAAAACAAAUAUUUAGAAAUAAAAUAAUAAUCUAUAGACAUAGGACACAGAAAUUUUAUGAAGCAGAUAAACAGAAGAAAUUAGAAAAAUUUUAAUAUAAUUAAAAUAGAAAUCUAACAUUAAAAUUUGUAGGCUGCUAUAAAAGCAUUAAAUUUAUAGUAUUAAAUGUUUAUAUUAGAAAAAGAAUAUCCCAAAAAAGAAAAAUAACUCGACUAAUCAAAGUUUCUACCUUGAAAAAGAAGAGCAAAAUAAAUUCAAAUUAAAUACAAGAAAUAACAAGAUAAAAGCAGAAAUCAAUUGAAUACCAAAAUCAAAAUGCACAGAAAAAAAUCAAUGAAUAAUACUGUCAUAAAAAUAAUUUAUUUUCAAUGCCAUAGUACUUAAAUCAAGCUCAAACUUUAUAAUUAAGAUAAAUAUAAUGCUUAGCAAUUAUUUGUAAUUUUCACAUGUAAUAGAAUAUACUAUUUCUGCAAUUUCUAUGCUGUAGUAUUGUCUAUUGGUAUUUUUCCAAACAAUUACUUUAAAGAAAGACAGUUCAUCUAGGUAAUUUAUCUUUUAUCGGCUUCUUUACACUUUUUCUAAAAUUAUGGGAGGAAGUAGGGCUGAGAAAGGCAGUCUCAUGCAUACAGCCUUUCAGCCCCCACUCAGCCACAUAAGACUGGGACUUGGAACACUUCCUUACCAAGAAAUAAAGAGCUCUCAUAAUUUCUGCUGGGUUUAUCACCUUGUUGAAGAAUAUCUUCCCUUUUUACAAGCACAAUAUAUGUUCUUUUGUUCUGCAUUAAGUAUAUGGCACCUGGGCAAUCCUACUGCUACAUCUGCCCUCCAUGGGGGAGUGUACAGGGUCCAUCUACAGAGUCAAGAGGAGGGUGAGCAUAGACCAGUUGCCCCGCAUCUGCUGCAGGAAGAGAGACCAACUGGCCACAGAAGACUGGUGGCCCCUACUGAAGCAACUUCUCCGAAGUAGUUAUGUAAGUUAUUUCUUUUCUUUAAAAAUAACUGUCACAUUCAGUAAAAGUAUUAAAUCUAAAUGAAUUAAACCUAAAUCCUUAAGUACGGAAAUCUAACAUUAAUAAUCUAUUAUGUGCCAUACAGUUAGCAAUGCCCAUCCACAAACCUCAUUUCAGAAUAUAUCCUAAAAUUAAAGGUCAUCUACAACUGGCUGCUGACCUUCCUUUCUAGAUUUAUCUUCAGUUACUUUCACUCCUGAAGUAUGACUUAAAACUAGCCUGGAGUUUCUGCUCACCAAAUUUAACUAUAUCUUUCUAACUCUAAUCAGAAUUCUGCCUUUCAAAUUCUUACUCAUAAUUAAAUGUCCAGAUUCUUGUAUCUAAACUUUCCUGUUUAUUAAAAUUUAAAAUUAAUUUCUAUCUCCUAAAUCACAUUGUUUAUAUCUAAUAACUCCUAUCACAUUCUUCUUUAUAUAAUAGUCAUUUUUUCAAGAUGGUUUAUAUUUUCCUUGUGGAAAUAUUCUCCCCACCUAUACUCAGUAACAUAAUAUUUGAAUGGGCUUCCCCACCUAAAUACUACUUUUCUCAUUCUCCCUUGAAUGUAGGUAUGGCCACAUGAAACAAAAUCUCAUCAAGGAAAUGCAAGCUGAGUGAUAUAAGCAAUUUCUAUAUGUAACCUUAAAGAGAGUGAUAUGUUUUCAUUCCAUCCCUUCUUCUAACAUUCAUCACCCAGAUGUGACAGGGUUUGUGAAACAAUUUGGUCCUAGGAAUGGUGAAGCAACAACUAAACAACUUUAGACAACUAAAAGACACGAAGGUCCUUGACAUCAUGGAUGGACCAUAUCAACUCUGAACUACUUAUACUAGAUUGUAGCUUAAAAAAUAAAAUCAACUUUAUUUAUUUAAGCCACUGCUAUUUUGGUUUUUGUUAUAGCAUCUAAAUCUCCACCAAAAAUUAAUAUGUACUACAAGUUUCUUGGGGCAGGAAUUACAUCUUGACCUUUGUAUCUUUUAUAUUCAUCACCUUGCUUAGCAAAGUGUC
rnacentral:lncRNA from 1 species